UCAGGUGGAGUGAGGUCACGCAUGGUCAGAGCCAAAAAGGAUCACCUGAAGGAUGUCAGGACUUUGGCAUCCUUUGUGUGUGUGCAUGUAGCUGGAAAUAAAAUUCAGAAAUCAUGUUUCCUCUUAGUUUAUUCUUUCUUUUUUUCCACCUCAUAAUGCAGAAUGGGGUCAACGAUCUCAGCCUGAGCCCCGUGAAUGCGUUCAAAGAGGGGAUGAAGCAAAGAACAAACAAGUGCUGGAAAAGAAACGGACAGGGAGUCUGCUGAGAAGAAAAAAGGAGCUGUGUCCUGUGGCUGGCACCCAGACAGGCUGGUUUGGACCUCCAUUCGUGCAACCAGCCUCCUACCCAUAUCCACAUCACUCUGGUCACUUAAAGAGCCUCAUCAAGCCUCCAUCUCCAUCACCGCCAGCGUCUAGACUCGAGAAAGGAGAGUCUUGGCAAGUGCCUGGAAAGAAACACAGAUGAAACAGAGAAGACAGCAGAGGAGACAUAGCAGAGCCAUAGAUAAACAGAUGGACCACAUGUGGUACUGGCAAGCUGCCGAUUUCCACAACUAGCCAGCAACCCAGUCCAUCGGCUGUUUAAACAAACCGAUACAGUCAGUGAGCUGUCCGGCCAGGUGGCCCUGCCAACCCAAAUGUGAGUAAAUCAGAUGUGAGACAAAGGGGGAAAAUAUGUGACGAAAAGAUGGCAAAGAAAGAGUCGUACCGAGGUCUGAGAGGAACAACGGGACAAAAAUCAGAGAAGGAAGGGAAGAAAAGGAGAACUAGAUCCAGAAGAACGGAGGCAGAAACACAGUAGCGUUUCCUUCCAGCAACCCUGGGAUGAGUCACGAUGAGUGGGCUGCCCGUUCACCAGGCAACUACUAAAAUACCCCAUAUACAAAAAAAGGCAACGUACGCACACACACUCACAGACGUACACAAAAGAGAUGUCAAACACUCUCACACAUAAAUGUUCGCACCAAACUCUCAACACAUGCGGAAAACCAAAGCAAACAACAGAAGUAACCCCUCGUGAUAAUGAGAGGGUAAACAGAACGGCUAAGCCUGCCGGACAUCUAAACAAUAUUUAUGUGUCACAUGUA